UCUGGGAGUAAACAGGUGGUACCUGAAAAGUUCGAAAGGGGAGAUUCAAGUCUUGCUGCGCGCUGGGCAGCAGUUGCAAGCAGAGAUGGCGUUUUCUGCAGUCGAGGGGCAACUCUUGGUCCGUGGGAGCACCACUCCAUGGCCGCUGUCUCUCCUGGCAUCAGAGUGACGCACUUCUCCCCAAGUAGGAUGUUGCGACCCAUCGAGCGCCGGCCUAAGGCUGCAGGUGGAGCCUGCGAGGCCUGCCUCUCCGCAAGGGGGGGCCGACCGCGCACGACCCGGCGAGUCCCGGCCAGGAGCGCGAUGGUAUGAAGCAAGGAAUGAGUCAACAUGCCAAUUAAUUUGAUGUCUGGCCCUGCGCAAGCACCUGCGGGAGUCAAGGCUGUGGGCCUGGCCUGAUCCCGGUCCCUCUGUGGGGCUAUUUGCAAGAAGGUGUCCUCGGAUGGUGUUGAUUCUCCAGUCAGUGACACUUCAGCUUGGAUGGCCUACCCGACCU
rnacentral:rRNA from 1 species